UUAUUUGUGAUCAAGUCAACAAUUGUAUUGUGUUACUAUCAUCUUUUCUCAAUUUCAGUUGCCAAAAUAUCCAAAUAGUGUUGCAUCCUUGUCGCACAAGAAGCAAAAGAAGUGGAGGAGCCUCCUCAAGUAUUCAUACAUAAAGUGAACAACAUUGAUAUCAGAUCAACUUCUGCCUGUAGGAGUGUUAGAAGUUUAUGCUGUGCUUGCCAAAGAAGGGGAGCUCGCUGCCUGGUUUUCAUCAUCUUUUGCUAAAAAAUAUUGGAAACCCUGUUUUCCUGGAACAUAAAAUGAUAUUACCAAUACUGUGUAACACACUUCAUCCAAUACAAACGGAUCAGUUGGUAUUGAAAAAUGUUUCAUCUAUACAUAUGAUAUAGUAUCAGUGUUGUUUAUAUUGCUGAAGUAGAUAGUGUGGCUGCUAUUGAUAAAUUAGUUUGAGGGUGGUUUAAGUAAUGUUAAAUUGUGUUGGAGAAGUAGCACUAAAUUCUAGGUUCCAAGUGUUGGUUAAAUGUAACUUUCCCUAUUCACUUAUGUAAAUUAUUUAUCUAGUGCAGUGAAAUUGCAUGUUGGACACA